GAUGAACGCUGGCGGCGUGCCUAAUACAUGCAAGUCGAGCGAACGGAUGAGAAGCUUGCUUCUCUGAUGUUAGCGGCGGACGGGUGAGUAACACGUGGAUAACCUACCUAUAAGACUGGGAUAACUUCGGGAAACCGGAGCUAAUACCGGAUAAUAUUUUGAACCGCAUGGUUCAAAAGUGAAAGACGGUCUUGCUGUCACUUAUAGAUGGAUCCGCGCUGCAUUAGCUAGUUGGUAAGGUAACGGCUUACCAAGGCAACGAUGCAUAGCCGACCUGAGAGGGUGAUCGACCACACUGGAACUGAGACACGGUCCAGACUCCUACGGGAGGCAGCAGUAGGGAAUCUUCCGCAAUGGGCGAAAGCCUGACGGAGCAACGCCGCGUGAGUGAUGAAGGUCUUCGGAUCGUAAAACUCUGUUAUUAGGGAAGAACAUAUGUGUAAGUAACUGUGCACAUCUUGACGGUACCUAAUCAGAAAGCCACGGCUAACUACGUG
rnacentral:rRNA from 1 species